GUCCCUUCGGGGACAUCCGAUAAAAUUGGAACGAUACAGAGAAGAUUAGCAUGGCCCCUGCGCAAGGAUGACACGCACAAAAACGGGCCUAAGGUAGGAAAA